rnacentral:rRNA from 1 species
GAGGACAUGGGAAGCUUGCUUCCUAUGGACUCUAGUGGCAAACGGGUGAGUAACGCGUAAGCAACCUGCCCUCCGGAUGGGGACAACAGCUGGAAACGGCUGCUAAUACCGAAUGCGUUUCUACUGCCGCAUGACAGUAGGAAGAAAGGUGGCCUCUGAAUAUGCUACCGCCGGGGGAGGGGCUUGCGUCUGAUUAGCUAGUUGGAGGGGUAACGGCCCACCAAGGCGACGAUCAGUAGCCGGUCUGAGAGGA